rnacentral:lncRNA from 12 species
CGAGGAGGGAGAGGGAGAACCCCAAGCAGACUCCACACCUAGCUCAGAGCCUGCCACGGGGCUUGAUCUCACGACCCUGAGCCAAAAUUAAGAGUCAGACGCCUAACAAACUGAGCUACCCAGGUCCCCCAAAGGCACUUUUUAAAAUGAGGUUGUAACUUUGUUUCAUUUUAUUUUUAUUUUAUUUUUUUUGUUUCAUUUUAGAAGAUGAAUGCAGAUUGAAGGAGAAACAGACAUUCAAAAUACCACUUGUCAACCUGUGCUGAUUCCUGAAAUAUUAUUGAUAUAUGACUCACUCUUCACAAGGUGAUAAAAUUCUGUCCAGCAAAUUCAGAAGAAGUCAUCACUUUAAAACCAAAGGAAGUUUUGGUCUUCAAUAGAUAUUCGGUGGAACCUGUACAAGGCUUUCAAUGGAAAAAGAGGUCAAGGUUAUGAUUCAAGAAAGAACUACAAAAAGCUAACUCACCAAAGAAAUCCAACGAGAUGCUGUUUUUUUUUCUAUGAAAAUAGUAGAUGUUAAUAAAAAUUCAUAUAAUUUGAGGAUGGCAUGAAUAGUUUCACGCAUUGUUGGUGCAACCCUCCAAGAUGGCAGCUUGAGAAUGUGUUGUGGGUCCUUAAAGAUAUUUACGACUUUGGAUCCAAUGGCUUGAUUUUAAAAACUCAUCGGAAACACAAAAAAUCAAAGGAUUAGAUCAGAGAAAUGCUCAAAAAGAAAAUCACAUAUGAGAGUUUUCAUCACCGCACUAUUGUUGACAAUGUUUUCUUAUGAAAAAUUCCAAACACAGAAAAGUUGAAAGAAAAGUACAACGCACUCCCAUACGCCGUCUACCUGGACUCAACUACUGGUAGCAUUUUGCCCUGUUUGGAAGUGAGUUGCCGACAUCCUGACACAUCACCCUCCAUGUCUUAUGCCAGCGAUAUGUGUAAUAGCAAAGUUUUAGAAAGAACCAAAAGUACAGCAGCAAAGGAUUGCUGUAGAGGUCAUAGGAUAUUAUUAGACGUGAAAAUGGUUUUCGCGACGCAUUUGCAAUUACCCUGCAGAUGGUUAUGGCGCGUUGCUACACAAGUAAAGCAGAAGUCAGAUCGUACGACCUCAAUGAUAAAACACCAACAGGUAACGGUAGUGCUAUGUGAACUGCGCGGCCAUCCCCACCACGGACCCUGUUUCUGAAAUCAGAACACAGUCUGCAGAAGCUGGAGUUCCGUCUGCGGUCCGUGUGGAGGACAGAAGGUGGACCGGGGAGCUGGCUUUGGAGAACACUCAGGUCUCUGCACUUCUCACCCCUGGUUCAGAUUUUCACCCCCAUCUCCUGAGACCAGCGUUUGGGUUCUGCCUCCGGGCCCCGUGCCUUUACUUCUCUUGAGUCCUUCAUGAGGGCGUUCAAGGGCAGCCAAGCCCAGCCCCACCCCGCCAUCCGCAGGUGAAGACGAUGUCCUGAGCCAUUUAGAUUGAAGUCUGAGGACAGCAGAGGUGAUUUCUAUGCAUGUAUGUAUGUAUGUAUUUAUUCACCCUUUAGUAUUUUUCAGGCACAGAAUGAAAAGGAAUCUCUGUUCUGGUGGGAGAUCCGAAUCUGAGUCCCUGCACAUCUGGGUUCCAAAAACAGGGUCACAUUAUUAGCUCUAUGUCAUGUGUCUAAUCCAAGAACCAGGCCUCCUUGGUUGGGAAAGAGCCGUGGAGAGAAGACCCUCCCACCCCCCACCGGAGGGGACAAAGGGCGGGCCGUGGCUCAUCCAGAGGGGCAGCGGUCCCCGAGCACUGGUUCCAGCGGGGUCCCAGGGGGGGCGGGCCACAGCCCAGGCGUGACUCGGGCACCCGGAGGUGGGCUGCGGCCCAGCUCCCGUAGGAAGGGUGGUAGACGACUCAGGUGUGCAUCGCCAUUGAGCCCCUUGGGUAAAUCCUGGUCUCCCCCCUGUGGAGCGUCAGGCAGCUAUUGAAGAGAAUGUGCCAACACACAGCGGUCUCCGUGUUCCGGGGAGAGCAGAGGGUACAGCCCAGUGUCCAUGGCUUCGAUCAGCUCGGAGACGAGGACGGAUCUCUGGGCCUACCUGUGUCCCCGUGCAUGCCCGGGACCAGCGAUCCUUCGUCUUAGAUCUUCCUACAGAGGGAUGGAUCUUGAUAGGACAAUAGGUUGACUCACUAUUACUAUCAUCAUCACCAUUAUUAGUGCUGCUGCUCCCAGUCUCCUGCACCCUGGCCCCUCAGCAGCUUGU